rnacentral:rRNA from 1 species
UUAAAUUGAGAGUUUGAUCCUGGCUCAGGAUGAACGCUGGCGGCGUGCCUAAUACAUGCAAGUCGAACGCGCAGCGAAAGGUGCUUGCACCUUUCAAGCGAGUGGCGAACGGGUGAGUAACACGUGGAUAACCUGCCUCAAGGCUGGGGAUAACAUUUGGAAACAGAUGCUAAUACCGAAUAAAACUUAGUAUCGCAUGAUACAAAGUUAAAAGGCGCUACGGCGUCACCUAGAGAUGGAUCCGCGGUGCAUUAGUUAGUUGGUGGGGUAAAGGCUUACCAAGACGAUGAUGCAUAGCCGAGUUGAGAGACUGAUCGGCCACAUUGGGACUGAGACACGGCCCAAACUCCUACGGGAGGCUGCAGUAGGGAAUCUUCCACAAUGGGCGCAAGCCUGAUGGAGCAACGCCGCGUGUGUGAUGAAGGCUUUCGGGUCGUAAAGCACUGUUGUAUGGGAAGAAAUGCUAAAAUAGGGAAUGAUUUUAGUUUGACGGUACCAUACCAGAAAGGGACGGCUAAAUACGUGCCAGCAGCCGCGGUAAUACGUAUGUCCCGAGCGUUAUCCGGAUUUAUUGGGCGUAAAGCGAGCGCAGACGGUUGAUUAAGUCUGAUGUGAAAGCCCGGAGCUCAACUCCGGAAUGGCAUUGGAAACUGGUUAACUUGAGUGUUGUAGAGGUAAGUGGAACUCCAUGUGUAGCGGUGGAAUGCGUAGAUAUAUGGAAGAACACCAGUGGCGAAGGCGGCUUACUGGACAACAACUGACGUUGAGGCUCGAAAGUGUGGGUAGCAAACAGGAUUAGAUACCCUGGUAGUCCACACCGUAAACGAUGAAUACUAGGUGUUAGGAGGUUUCCGCCUCUUAGUGCCGAAGCUAACGCAUUAAGUAUUCCGCCUGGGGAGUACGACCGCAAGGUUGAAACUCAAAGGAAUUGACGGGGACCCGCACAAGCGGUGGAGCAUGUGGUUUAAUUCGAAGCAACGCGAAGAACCUUACCAGGUCUUGACAUCCUUUGAAGCUUUUAGAGAUAGAAGUGUUCUCUUCGGAGACAAAGUGACAGGUGGUGCAUGGUCGUCGUCAGCUCGUGUCGUGAGAUGUUGGGUUAAGUCCCGCAACGAGCGCAACCCUUAUUGUUAGUUGCCAGCAUUCAGUUGGGCACUCUAGCGAGACUGCCGGUGACAAACCGGAGGAAGGCGGGGACGACGUCAGAUCAUCAUGCCCCUUAUGACCUGGGCUACACACGUGCUACAAUGGCGUAUACAACGAGUUGCCAACCUGCGAAGGUGAGCUAAUCUCUUAAAGUACGUCUCAGUUCGGACUGCAGUCUGCAACUCGACUGCACGAAGUCGGAAUCGCUAGUAAUCGCGGAUCAGCACGCCGCGGUGAAUACGUUCCCGGGUCUUGUACACACCGCCCGUCACACCAUGGGAGUUUGUAAUGCCCAAAGCCGGUGGCCUAACCUUCGGGAGGGAGCCGUCUAAGGCAGGACAGAUGACUAGGGUGAAGUCGUAACAAGGUAGCCGUAGGAGAACCUGCGGCUGGAUCACCUCCUUUCUAAGGA